CAACAGUCACUGGAGGGAGACAGAGUCCUCUGUGAGAGCGUCUGAGGACUCCUUUCAGUAUGAGCCCUGUCUUUGAUUCCAGAUUUGGGAUGUUACUGGCGUGGGAGCACUGCACCUCCAUCUCAUGCUUCUCAGCAACUGGAAGCACCUGGGCAGGCAGCUCUUACCUGGGCACGGUGGGAAGAAGACACCCCAAAAGGGUCAUCUUCGGAGCAGGUGCCCCCCAGAGAAGGAGAGGCUGAGUGGUCUUCAAGAUCGAGGAGCGUGUGGCAUUUCAGAUGGAGCUGUGUCCUGUGAACCUGCCUGACUCCUUAAGGAUUUACCCAGGCUUUUGGCUUCCACAGCAUUGUACAGCAGUAAGUCCCACUACGUAACGACAUGUAAUGUGGAUGUCAUAUUUCCUUGUGAACCUGAUGCCUGAUGUUUUCUUUGGACAUUCCUUGGUUCCCAUAUUUUCUGGGAGAGCACGCACAGUAGCUCCUUGCAGAUCUGCUGUCUGCACACCCUUCAGGUAAGGAUAUACUGCCAAUUUCGUUUAUUUUCCAAGCUGAAGACUCACAUUUUUUGUAAUGUCUCUUUCCAAGGAGAUCUGUCUCCAGCUCUUCAUAUUCUAUAUUCCUUUUGAGGUGCAGUAACCUCUGUGUUAUCUAUCAGGGUUUCCCAUGGUAAGAAAAUAACUGCAGAAAUGUCAUAAUGACGUUCUCUAGUUUAGUUCUCGGUUUCUUUCCAAAAAAUUCCUAAUGAACCAAAAAAGUUGCAGAAAAGUAACUUGGGCCUCCCACAAAGACAGGCAAAUUUACUUCAGAUGACUAAGUGCCAAAUGUAUUAUAUUUUCACAGCCUUAUCCUUGAAGGUGUAGAGUGUUGCUGUGAGUCAGCAACCGCAGUGCAAUCUCCUCCAAGAGGCUGCCUGAAGCUUUGCUGACUGAAAGUUCAGUACCCACAGUCUGAGACUGCUGAUGUACAUCCGGCUGCUUUUCCCUGGCUACUCACUCUGAGCCAAGCACACUUAGGUCAGCAAACUCUUUUCAGCUUUCCCAAGUUAACUAAUACGUAGUACAGAACUCUGUGGUUAUGUAAAGCAAUUUUUUCUUAAUUAAUAAGUAUAAAAGAGAAACAGAUGUGUUGCAUUUCAAACACCACUCUUCUGACAUAUACGGAGAUAUUUAGAAACAGGAAGAUAUAUUUUUUAAAUUAUUUUUAUGAAGUUGUUUCUUUCGUAAUGAUUUUCUCUGUGAUUUACUUUAUGUGGUUCAGAAUGUAAGCAGGUAAAUGCAAUCAGUUGCAACUCCGUUGGAUAUUUUGGUGAUCUGACUGCUGUUACCUCAGCAUCUCCACUCUUUGUAGUCAAAUUUUAUAUGAUUUUUUCUUGUUUCCUCCUUUUGAGCUGUUGCGGUACAACACAUGUUCAUACACGCUGGUCACAGGAUGCUGUGUUCUCACUGUGAGACUACCCGACAUACCCAGAGCAACUCCCCCAAAUACAGAAAAUAGGUGAUGUAAAGUGCUGUCAUUGAAAAAGUGUUUUACCACAAUGAUGCUUAUCAGGCAAAUAAACUACCUUUAUCACCAUUAAGUUUUUCCCAUACAGUAAUAAGUAUUCUACUUCAUGUCUCCAGUCAAAGAAAGGAAACCUUCAUAGCUACCAGAGAUCAAACUCUCCCCUUCCCCACCCUAAACGAGGCAGUAUGUUUCCAGCCUAAAACAGCAUAUGGUUCACUGUCCAGACAAAUAAAAACAAGUACUUGUCAUUGAAAACUCUGUGCAGGAUACAAAUGAAUCACAGCCAGAAGCACAAGGACAGAACAAGGUAGAAAAGACAAUUAGAACGGCACACUUCACAGCUUUUCUUAGUGAUGUAUUCAUUUCAAAUUCAACAGUCACAAAAGCAUCCCUGUGUUAGCUUUGAACUAUCUCUAGCAAUUAAGCUGAGGCAGAAUGGACUCAUUCUGCUCUGAUUGCAUGCUCCGAAAUCUGCUGCAAGGGGAGGAAGAAAUACAUUCAUCAGAAGAAAUAGCAGUUUGCCAUAACACCUGCUAACAACAAUUAAAGUUAUCUUGGACACGUGUACAUGAUCUGCAUGGAACGAAGUAGAUUUACCUAUUGCAGGUGCUCUGAAUACACAGCAUGAAGUGUCAGGCACAGCAUGUGAAUACAAAAUAAAUGUAUUUUAAUGAUGACUUUACUACGGCUACAAUGUCUGAGCUUCCCAAAAUCAGGAACCCCAGAAAACCUGGGUUCCAUUUAUAUGUCUAGGUGGGAACAUUCACGGAACAGAAAAAGCCUUGCUGUGCUUAUAAAAUCUCUGCAGAAUUAAUGAAGAAUAGGCUAUGCUUGUCGCUAGAGGCAUAACCAAAUUUAUUUCUGUUGUUUCCAGAGUACAUGACCUGAUUGUUUUAAAAUCAUUCCUCCUUCCUCCUCCUUGGACCCUCUAACCUCUCAGUAUUUUACCUGGGAAAUGUUUGGCACUGUGUUUGAGGAAGGGUUGGGUAUGAACAGGUCACAGAUAUAACAGCAACAAUAUAAACAGGAACAGCAGCCUCUGCUUUCUCUUGGGAGGCAUAAUGCAAAAACCCUCAGGUGCCACAGACCAUUCACUUCAGAAUUGCUCUUCAAAGUGACAUAGGUGAGCAUGAAGUAAGAAACAUUUAAAGAACUUGUGACCUCCACACUUGCAUUGCAACACACAUAUUUUAAAAAUGUUCAUAGCAUCUAAAGCAAAGCAAUCUGUAUAUAUAUGAUUAUGUUCUGGGAGGAAAACACAACAAAACGAAACAAAGAAUGCAAAAGACUAUUUGCUAAGCAAUUCCUUUUUCAACACAGGUGUAGUGCUAUCACUGCUAAUCACACAGAGGACUGACUGCAUGCAGGAGCCUGUACUCCCAGAUGUGAAUUGUGUAAGAUUUCAGACAAUAUUACACUUCCACUGCUUUUCCAGAAAUCUUUUGCUUAUCCUUGCCAAUAAUGAGAAAUAGUGUUUCUCUUGAGGAAAACAUAUUACAUAAUAAAACCACUGACAUUUAAUCUCAGUUUUAGCAUCUAAUUAUUAUGCUGUGUCUAGUACUCCAAUACUAGAAACACUGCUGCUUAAAAAAAAUUGUCAUUACAGGCAACAGGUAAAUAACAGCACAGCUGUUUUCUUUCACAAGUAUAUUUAGAAACUAGGCCUUGUAAUGCUAUUAUGGAAAUUGCCACAUUCACUAAGCACCUUAAGAUAUUAAUAGGUUGUCUGCAUUAAAAAACAUCUGGUUGAAAUAAAGCGAUCCUCAUAUUCUCAGAACUGAAAACUAUAAAUGUUGUGGGGUAGGAGGUGGGGAAUAAACCCCACAAAAAUGCACAGGAGCAAACAGAUCGAUUCUGACACAGUCCCUAUGAAGUUAUGGCAUGUUAGAGAAUACACAUAUAAGGGAUGGGUCCAAUGAUAAAUGAUGUAGACAAUGAGCAUGCUUUUUAUGUGUUUCUUGCAUGGUUCUCUGCACUGGUAGGAGUUACAGGACAUGAAUAUUAGGGAGUCUGGGUCCCUGUCAGGGAUUAAAUAGCUAGAAGCCAGGCAGUAUCUUGCCUAGCUACUCUUCUAGCUCAAACAUCAGGGCCAGAUUCAGGCAGGCUCAUGCCAUGACUUCCAGGGCAGCACUGCUACAAUCACUAGAUUUCUGGCCCAAAGAACACAAUUCAAUCAUUAAAAUCCAUGUUCAUUGAAGUUAAUGAUACAGGAUUUCAAUGUCACAGCCUUAAGGGUAUUUGGCCAUGAACUCCCUUGUUCAUAGUCCUCCCUGCGAAGUGAGAGCCAUUGGAGUUUCCCCGAUUGUCUGGUGGGAUGAUGCCUGGUGGGAUGAUGUGUGGUGGGGCACUGAGAUGCUCAGGGCGGCACAAAAAGGCACUUGAUUUUCUAGCCAAGCACAAGUGACAGGUACAGAGACCUCAAGAAACUUCCGUUUGUUAAAAGUGUUGAUUGUCUCACAUACGACAGUGCAAAACACUAAAAACGGAACAUAAUUUAAAUUAAUAAAAAAUACACCACAGACACCGUAUCACUAAGAAAGCCAGUAACUUUACUGAUUUGUCUGCAAAAUACAAAUUAUACCUUAUUUCCAGCAGGAGAAUCUUUUGAAAUUUUUCCAUUUUUGUUCACUACAGACAGCUGAAUUAAGUCCCUUGAGAUACACAGAUGUGGUUUAACUUAGUUAUAACAUCUUGUCAUCUAGUGGCGACAAAGUCCAGCUUAUGCCGCUGUGAGCCUCUACUUUAA
ensembl:lncRNA